rnacentral:lncRNA from 1 species
GAUGUGUAAUUCAUGGAGCAGUUACCACUCUGACUUCAAAUCCUGGAAAUCCCCACGAUCACUUAUCUGCCCUAAUUUAUUCUCCCCUUCCAGAGAUCUGUAACAAAAAUCCAUCGGCUAUCUCUCUCACUUUAUCUCAACCGUGUGCCUCAAAAAAUGGAGGAUCAAACAAUUCAGCCGGUACCCGCGGAAAUUGAAGUUAAUUAAGAAGAAUCCGAGGUGAAAAAAUGAAGAACUUAGGAUGGAGGAUGAGAAGAUGAGGAGUUUUACGAGAGGAUUGAAGCUCCUAAGUUUGUUGAUUUAACUAAGGGUAUGUUUGGCUAAGCUUAUUAUCGUUAAAAAGGACUUUUGGAAAAGGACUUUUUGAAAAUGAGUUUUUAAAAAAAGUGUUUGGAUUAGCUUAUUGAUGUAAAAUGACUAAAAUUGAUAUUCUUUUAGAUAUAAGGGGGUAAAGAAGGUGUAUAUUGGUAAUUUGUAGUUUGAAAAGUUAAAAGCUGGCCAAUAAGUCACAAUAUUGUGACUUCUUGAAACCUCCUUUUUCUUUUUUGCAAAAAGCCAUUUCUAAAAGGACUUUUGGCUUAGCCAAACACAAAAACAACUUAUUGGCUUUUUGAUAAGUCAAUAAGCCAAUAAGUUGUUUUGAAAAGCUUAGCCAAACAUGCCCUAAACCCUACAUAUCUACGGUUGGUAUGUUGAUUUUCAUCUUUAGUUUCUUAAUCAUGUGCAUCAUCUCAAUUAGUUCAAAAUCCUAUUUUUUUUAACUAAACGGAUUUUAUAGGUUUAGUAAACAAUUUUGCAGGUGCCAUAAUUGGUUUAUGGUUUUGAGGUUAAGUUUUUUUUAUGGCUUAUUAUUUUACAUGUUCAUGAUAAGCUUUAGCAGUUUAAAUCAAACUCGCGGUUAUUUCAAAACUUUAUUUGGGUUUGUUUCUAUCUUAUUUUCGUGAUUUGGAUUUGAAAAAUGUGCAGACUUUCACUUUUGAUAGGUUUUCAUAUUCUUCUAGGUGCAUCCAUGAUCGUUCAUCUAUAUUUGGGGAGGUGUCAAAUCUGUUAGGUCUCGUAAUGUUGAUAUCGACGAGUGGGAAGAAGGAAAUAUCUGAUAGCAUAAAUUAGCACAAUGACCAGCCCAUGUAUAAUUUCGUAUUUUCAGUAGAUUAUACUUGCCUCUAAAGAUUACUGUCGUUUACAAAUCUGAUUUCAGAUUCAGUUGAGUGAUUAGUGUGAUAUCAAUUACAGUUCUCCCUUCUGCAAAUGGGAUACAUCAUACUCCAAUCACAAAUUAUUGUUGUGCAGUGACGAGUUUGUGAUAGUGCUGGUGGAUAUACCAUCAUCAGCCUCACGUGAGAGAUAGAAAAGCAACCUGGUUAUGCCCUGAAAAAGGAUACAAUUGUUUUUGAGAUGGGCUAUUAUUCAAGGAGUGGCAAUGCUUUUACAUAACAUAUAUCAAACAUACAGACUCUAUACACGUAUUGCCUAGUUGUGUCUUUCAGGGCUGUGCUAUUGGUCAACUAUUUGGUAUGUUGCGAGUUCUUGGUGGAAACAAUGGGAUUUUACAAGGGAUGUUCUUAAUGAGAAGAGUGUGCUGUUUUGUGAUGAUUGUUGAUACAUGCUAUACAUAGGAUGGACUCGUGCCUUAGCGACUUUAAAACUUGAAAGACAAUAAUUGUAUUUAUUUGAUUUGAAAUAAAACGAUGUGUUCAAUAAUUCAAUAAAACGA